CCUACGGGAGGCAGCAGUGGGGAAUAUUGGGCAAUGGGCGCAAGCCUGACCCAGCAACGCCGCGUGAAGGAAGAAGGCUUUCGGGUUGUAAACUUCUUUUCUCAGGGACGAAGCAAGUGACGGUACCUGAGGAAUAAGCCUCGGCUAACUACGUGCCAGCAGCCGCGGUAAUCCGGCGGUGGCAAGCGUUAUUCGGAUUUACUGGGUGUAAAGGGCGUGUAGGCGGGAAAGCAAGUCAGAUUUGAAAACCGUGGGUUCAACCUGGGGCCUGCAGUUGAAACUGUUUUUCUUGAGUACUGGAGAGGCAGACGGAAUGCCUGGUGUAGCGGUGAAAUGCGUAGAUAUUAGGAGGAACACCAGUGGCGAAGGCGGUCUGCUGGACAGCAACUGACGCUGAGGCGCGAAAGCGUGGGGAGCAAACAGGAUUAGAUACCCUAGUAGUC
rnacentral:rRNA from 1 species